AGUGAACGCUGGCGGUAGGCCUAACACAUGCAAGUCGAACGGCAGCACAGUAAGCUCUUGCUCUUACGGGUGGCGAGUGGCGGGUGGGUGAGGAAUACAUCGGCAUCUAAUUUUUCGUGGGGGAUAACGUAGGGAAAGUUACGCUAAUACCGCAUACGACCUACGGCUGAAAGCAGGGGUUCUUGGGACCUUGCGCGAUUGAAUGAGCCGGCGUCGGAUUAGCUAGUUGGUAAGGUAAGGGCCUACCAAGGCAACGAUGCGUAGCUGACCUGAGAGGAUGAUCGGCCACACUGGAACUGAGACACGGUCCAGACUCCUACGGGAGGCAGCAGUAGGGAAUCGUGCGCAAUGGGCGAAAGCCUGACGGAGCAACGCCGCGUGAGUGAUGAAGGUCUUCGGAUCGUAAAACUCUGUUAUUAGGGAAGAACAAAUGUGUAAGUAACUAUGCACGUCUUGACGGUACCUAAUCAGAAAGCCACGGCUAACUACGUG
rnacentral:rRNA from 1 species